rnacentral:rRNA from 1 species
UGGGGAAUAUUGCACAAUGGGCGAAAGCCUGAUGCAGCAACGCCGCGUGAGUGAUGAAGGUCUUCGGAUUGUAAAGCUCUGUCUUUUGGGACGAUAAUGACGGUACCAAAGGAGGAAGCCACGGCUAACUACGUGCCAGCAGCCGCGGUAAUACGUAGGUGGCGAGCGUUGUCCGGAUUUACUGGGCGUAAAGGGUGCGUAGGCGGAUGUUUAAGUGAGAUGUGAAAUACCCGGGCUUAACUUGGGUGCUGCAUUUCAAACUGGAUAUCUAGAGUGCAGGAGAGGAGAAUGGAAUUCCUAGUGUAGCGGUGAAAUGCGUAGAGAUUAGGAAGAACACCAGUGGCGAAGGCGAUUCUCUGGACUGUAACUGACGCUGAGGCACGAAAGCGUGGGUAGCAAACAGGAUUAGAUACCCUGGUAGUCCACGCCGUAAACGAUGAGUACUAGGUGUAGGAGGUAUCGACCCCUUCUGUGCCGCAGUAAACACAUUAAGUACUCCGCCUGGGAGGUACGAUCGCAAGAUUAAAAC